AGUGGAAUGCCGUUGCUUGAGGUAAUUUCUAUGUUAAUCACCAUUAUCAAGUCCUCAUUAUGAUGAGAAUAAAAUAUAAUGUUUCAAUUACAGCAAUUGCAGAAUACUUUCUGGUCUCCACAUGUGUCUGGAAAUCCUGAAUCGAAGAAUUUUGCCUGGGCGUUCCAGGAGUCAGCUGAUAAGAAGCAUGGAAACAAUCCACAAUACAGGACUUACAAGAACAGGACAAGGUAAGGCCAUGCCGAGCGACCUAUUAGAUGUUUCUUUUCGCGCAAGGUGCAUGAGCUGUUAAUAUCCGAGACCUGAAAGUAACAGGUUUUUUUAAUUAAGGAGUACAUCAAGUAAUUUCGAUCUUACAUGUCGCCAGUUGACCAUUUCUGGUGGUAUCUUAGCUUUAUUUCCUUUCACUGAUGUGAGAUUCCUUGUUUUGUCGCAGUCCCUUGAUACCUCUACCUCCAGCAUUGUAUAGAGCGCUUCCAAGUUGGUUCAAGCUGGUGUUCCUUCUUGAACUGCCAUUGUACAAUAAGAAGCUAUCAAGUGGUCAAGAACGAUUGCAAAGCAGCACUGAUGAAGUAGUAUGAUAUCUUCGUCAUGUAUUUCUUAGAUUUUUGAAAAUAUCCUAAUUGGAGUUAAAAUGCCUAGGUGUCUCAUGGUUGUAUUUUUGGCAGUUUUAUGGGUUUCUGUAGAGCUUCUGCUUAAGAGUUACACUUGGGAAUGUUGCACUGGCUUUAAAACAGUAAAAAAUUUGCGAAACAGUUAAGUAAUAAUAUACAAGGAGUCCAGUGUGUACGAGAUUGUAGACGUAAUAUUUGGAGAGCAUGCAAGGGUGUCGAGUAACUCUUAAACUACCUCGAACGAAGACUGCUCAUUGAUAUGGAUAUCAUUAGGCAUGAUUUUCGUACCUGGUCAAUGUGUAGGAUUCCAGGAUUAAUUUUCAGACAGCCUGUGAUUUUAACUUUUAUUUAUAUCUACAUUUACAUCUUUUCAUUGGACGUUGAUAUGGGAUAAUUGUGUUGGAAACAUGAAAAGAGCUAUUAUGAUUUUUUUUUUUCUAGUGUGUAUGGAUGUAAUGUGUAAUCCCUUGAAGUAAGAUAAAAACAAGAACUUCAAAAUAAAUUUAAACAAUUUAAUAAUGUGAUUUUAACCAAGCUACAUUCGUAUCAUAUUCCAUAUCUCACCGAUCUCAUUUCUUCCAACCGACACGAAUUUUAAACACUAUUUCAACACCCCACAAUGUUUGAAUAAAAUCAUAUUAUUUCGCAAGAAUAAGAAAACAAAAAAAGGGCCGAAACUAUAAAAAGUAGUGUCACACAUUGAAAGUAUGCAGAGUAUCACCUCAAUAACCAUUGUUAAGUACACAAGCACAUUGAGCAUAUACCCUACACAGUCGAUCUACUUGGAAUUAAUUUAAUAUCUAAUUUCAUAAUCUGUAGUUGCCAGAGCAAAACCUGUUUGAAGAAAAACGAUGCCACGAAACCAAAGGGUAAAAGAUGGAAAAAGGAAAGAAAAGAAUUGGAUAAUCAGAGGGAAGGGAAAGAAAUGAUAGCGAAAGAAAGAAAGAAAAGUGAAGGAAAGAAAGAAAAGCAAAAGAAAGAAAGGAAAGGGAGGAAAAGAGAGAAAAGCGAGGGAAAGAAAGGAAAGGGAGGGAAAGAGAGAAAAGCGAGGGAAAGAAAGCGAGGGAAGAAAACGAAGGAAACGAAGGUGGUGUUGGGAAAGGCACGACCAAGCAGAGCUCGCGGAGCAUCGAGGGAGGGAGGGAGAGCGAGUGAGGGAGCUCGAUCGAUCACACACAGACACACAGCGGAGCACCGCACGGUGGCCUUACCUCAUUCAGUUCGUGUCGAUCCCUGCACUCUCUGCCAUGCCAUGCGUUCUCAUUCCCUCGUGAUCGCCUCCACGCUUCCCCUCACCCUCUCGCCAUUCCCAUUUUUGCACUGUCUCGCGCCCGCUCAGGAUCA
rnacentral:lncRNA from 1 species